AUGAGAGUGGGCUGAAAGUGGUGAGAGCCCAGAGAUUGUUUUGUGUUGGGCUUGGGUGGUUUGUUUUGAUUUUAAAGUGCUGUGGCUUGGUUAGGGGAGAACGCAUCCUCCUUGGUUAUGCAUGAGCCAGAACCAGCCUCAGCUCGGACAAUUCCACUGGAAGUUUGUGUGUGAGUUGUGGUCCUGAGAGACAGAAGACUGCAUUUGAUUUGCAAGUUUGGAUACAGACUGAAAAUGACGAAGGAGCUUGAUGAGGCCAGAGCAGAACAAGGCUGGAGUGCAAUGGCACCAUCUCGGCUCACUGCAACCUUUGCCUCCCAGGUUCAAGUGAUUCUCCUGCCUCAGCCUCCCGAGUAGUUGGGAUAACAGCUGAACUGUUACAACUAUUGACACUCUUCAAAAGGUUCCGCUCUGAACCCUGUCCAGGCACUGCAGGCUCCAAUGGACAUCUUCAAAUCCAGAGAAUGGAGGGGCAAGAGCUUCCCCUGUGUGAUGCCAAAACCAACAAAGCCCCAUGGAUCAGGUAAUGAAAC
rnacentral:antisense_RNA from 1 species